GAUGAACGCUAGCUACAGGCUUAACACAUGCAAGUCGAGGGGUAACGAGAGGAAAGCUUGCUUUCCUUGUCGACGACCGGCGCACGGGUGAGUAACGCGUAUCCAACCUGCCCCCAACUAGGGAAUAACCUUGCGAAAGUAAGACUAAUACCCUAUAAUUUCCUCAGAUGUCAUCUGACGAGGAAUAAAGAUUUAUCGGUUGUGGAUGGGGAUGCGUCUGAUUAGCUUGUUGGCGGGGUAACGGCCCACCAAGGCAACGAUCAGUAGGGGUUCUGAGCCGAAGGUCCCCCACAGUGGAACUGAGACACGGUCCAAACGCCGACGGGAGGCAGCAGUGAGGAAUAUUGGUCAAUGGGCGGAAGCCUGAACCAGCCAAGUAGCGUGCAGGAUGACGGCCCUAUGGGUUGUAAACUGCUUUUAUACAGGAAUAAAGUUAGCCACGUGUGGUUAUUUGUAGGUACUGUAUGAAUAAGGACCGGCUAAUUCCGUGCCAGCAGCCGCCGUAA
rnacentral:rRNA from 1 species